CAAGUCGAGCGAACAGACGAGGAGCUUGCUCCUCUGACGUUAGCGGCGGACGGGUGAGUAACACGUGGAUAACCUACCUAUAAGACUGGGAUAACUCCGGGAAACCGGAGCUAAUACCGGAUAAUAUAUUGAACCGCAUGGUUCAAUAGUGAAAGACGGUUUUGCUGUCACUUAUAGAUGGAUCCGCGCCGCAUUAGCUAGUUGGUAAGGUAACGGCUUACCAAGGCAACGAUGCGUAGCCGACCUGAGAGGGUGAUCGGCCACACUGGAACUGAGACACGGUCCAGACUCCUACGGGAGGCAGCAGUAGGGAAUCUUCCGCAAUGGGCGAAAGCCUGACGGAGCAACGCCGCGUGAGUGAUGAAGGUCUUCGGAUCGUAAAACUCUGUUAUUAGGGAAGAACAAAUGUGUAAGUAACUAUGCACGUCUUGACGGUACCUAAUCAGAAAGCCACGGCUAACUACGUGCCAGCAGCCGCGGUAAUACGUAGGUGGCAAGCGUUAUCCGGAAUUAUUGGGCGUAAAGCGCGCGUAGGCGGUUUUUUAAGUCUGAUGUGAAAGCCCACGGCUCAACCGUGGAGGGUCAUUGGAAACUGGAAAACUUGAGUGCAGAAGAGGAAAGUGGAAUUCCAUGUGUAGCGGUGAAAUGCGCAGAGAUAUGGAGGAACACCAGUGGCGAAGGCGACUUUCUGGUCUGUAACUGACGCUGAUGUGCGAA
rnacentral:rRNA from 1 species